CCCAAGCAGGCUCCACGCUCAGCAGGGAGCCUGACAUGGGGCUCGAUCCCAAGACCCUGGGAUCAUGACCUGAGUCAAAAUCAAGAGUUGGACGGUCUACCGACUGAGCCAUCCAGGCAUCCCUAAGAGAUGUCUGUCAUUGUGAAAUUGGAAGCUCUAAUCUCUGCUUUCCGGGUCUAUAUUACACCGUGCCCUCUUUCCCCCGACAUGUGCCUGGAGACCCAAGUAUCAGAAAUCUUCCUAGAUGAUGCCAGCCUAUACUGAGAAAGGAUUCCUGUUGGAGCCAUCCCAAAUCCCAUUUCUCAGAGGACAAAAUAGAGACUCUGCUACUCUCUGAACACCCCUCUUACUGAGAACUGGCAACACCUAAUGUGGACAGAAGAAAGCUUACAUCCUUUGGAGGCAGCGCUGGAGUCUAGAAUUCGGAGAUCACAAACGUGGGUAAUGGAUAUCGGGGGCCAGUAGGUCAUCUUAUAUUGCUGAAAAAAGGGUAAGUUGCCUCACCCCACUCCAAUUUGGCAAUAUCUCUAAAAGUUUACAAUGUAUCUAUCCUUUGAUCAAGGGAUUCCAUUCCUAAAGGUAUACCCCAUGGAGAGCACAUGUACAAAUAUAAGCUUGCAGAAAAGUAUGUAUCACAACAUUGUUUCUAAACGCAGUAAAUGAUGGAAAAGAAACAGAAAUUUAGUACUCUGAAGCACUGGUAGAAAUAUAGCCCAUCCAUGGAAUAAUAUGCUGCCAUUAAAAUAAGACACUUUUACAUUGACUGAAAUGGAAAGAUCUCCAGCAUGUAUUAAGUGGGAGAAACGGGAAGGAAGUGCAGAAAAAUUUGCAUACAAAUCCACCUGUGUGGGAAAGAAAAUGGACGGACUCUGAAAUCUAUUCACUGGCUGACUGUCUCUGGGGAGGAGAAUUGAGUGGAUAGGAGACAAGGGAGGGAUUCUUGUUUUUUGCCUUUUUAUACCUCUGUACUUUUGUAUUGUGUGCCUGUAUUACCUAAUCAUAAGCAACCAAUCUAACAAACAUGAAUGAACAGCCCAGAGAAACUUAGGAAGUGAUGUGAGCAACUGAAAAGAUCCCAGGAUUUAUCAUCAAACGGGGCCUGAGUUGAAAUCCUAGCUCUCACCCACUAUGGGCCCUUUGUUCUCCGAGUUCUGUAAAAUAUAAAUGUGUAAAAUCAAGAUCAUAGUGCCCAACAAGCAGCACUGUUGGAAGAAUGAGACAUAACAUCAAUGAAGUGCCAGGCUCAGUGAAGAGUAGCCGUCAUUAUUGAAUUCACAUUGGGGGAAAUUAAUAACCACAGAGAAGGCUAAAUCUAUUCCAAGUUACACAGGAAGUUUAACAGCAAAUUCUUUCCCAAGGGGCUGCUUCAGGCUUUGGCCUAUUCUCCAGAGCCUGCUGAAUAUGAGAGGAACUGUUUUCAGGGCGGGCCAGACCUGGGUCUGUUUGGCGGUGCUCCAAAGUUUCAGGUGCAAUAGGUUAGCGGCAACGGGUCGUCUUGUUUUCCUCAUUAUCAUUGUGAAGAAAUUAGCCCGCAGUUGUUCAAGCGGGGGAAGCAUUCUGGGUGGUCUGGGGCCCCCUGAGAAGGCCUGCCAGAUGAAGGCCGGGAUGCCCAAUUACAUUUGAAUUUCAGGUAAAUAACAAAUAACCUCGCCAUACAGAUACACCCCAAAGAGUACAGUACAGCUUACGAUGCGGCGUACCUGGACUACAAAACCGUUUGUUGAUUAUCUGAAAUUCAGAUGUUAACUAUGAGUCCUGCCCUUUUAUUUGUGAAACCUGGCAGCCCUAUCCGUGAGUGGAGAUACCCACAGGCGAAGGCUUGUGUGUAUUUGGGAAAAUACUGCGAAGGUCCUCAGAGCUAGUCUUUGAGAAGCACUUCUCCGUGGGCGCUCUGUAGCACAAAUGUGGAGGAGCUCUGGGGGUAAAGGUGAAAUGAAGGUCAGAGGAGGCCCGGCUGUGCCCAAGGAACCCACCAGAUAAAGCUGCUGCCUUCGCUAUGCUUUGGCUUCCCCUUUUUCUUCCUGGAGGCCGCAGGUGCCUGGAAGUGACACGAGGAGGCAGCACGGGAGGAGGGAUGGGAAGACAGGUGUUUCUCCCCUCGCUGAUGCCACUCUCUUCCCAGUGAGCAUGCGCCAAUCACGCUCGCCUUUAAAAGGGGGCCUUGGGCGCUUGCUGGUCUAGAGGAGGGGUUUUCCUGCCGGUCGUGGUCUGGGCUUUUGUGGCUUUUUCCGUGGGGGCGGCUUUUCCGACUCUGGGUUUGCAGAUUUGUGUUUUUUGAGGUAGGGGCUUGGGUGAGAGAGAGGGGCAUCUAGGGGAUAGGGGAGGGAGUAGUAUCUGCUUUCUUUCCUCCAAGAAGUUUCUUUUUCUGUCCCUUUUCCGGGCCCGGAAGGCCAUUAGUGCUGGCAGGACUGUUCUCUUUUCACUGUGGCUUCUUUUACAAAGCAUCGUGCUGUCCCCUCCAGGAGAGCUGGCUUUUCACCUCCUCUUUCUACCCUAGUUCUGAACAAGGCUGUUCCCUAAGUGUUAGGGGGUGGUUUGCGUGACUGAGAUUGCUCCCGGAGUUUCAGGCUUUGUCUGAUUCACUGCCAGGGAGGGGGAAGCAGGCCCGCAGAAGUCUUCUUCCAGCUUCCUAUAGAAGGGGCUCUGCGUCUUUCACUCUGGCCUCUAGCAGGAGAAGCUGUGCUCCAGCAGAGACGCUCCGUAAUUUAGUGGCUGUGGCAAUUGCGGUUAUUCCCGUAAUGGUAGGGGAAGGUCCGUCUCCCUUUUCCGACAGUUGAACAUAGAAACUGGUCAGCUGGACCUUCCUACUGCUUAGAGAGGAAACGUUGCGAUGGAGUCUGGCGGCUUAUUUCCCGGGAAGCUUGUCUUCCAGCUCCAUGUAUCUUGACGGAGCUCUGCUCUUCUGUACUAAGGCUUCUGAAGGCAGAUGCAAAGCAGCGACAUGGGCCAGGAGCUAAGCAGGUCUUUCUGAGGUUUUCUGCUCUCCAAAUCUGAGGUUUCUCACCUAGGGUGCAAGCGAGAGCUCACGUUGGCUUGUGCCUAAUCACCUUGCUUUCGGGGCUCAAACUGCUGAAAUCUUGGUCAGAUAAAAUGCCGGAAGGAUUGCAACAAGCUACUAGAACCCAUUCUUAAGCACUGGUAGUUAAUGGCCAAGUAGCAGCUAAAUAGAAGCAGAAUAAGCUACACUUGACGACUGUUUCUAGGAGGGGGAAGAGGGGUUGAGCACCUUUGAGCAGGCAGCCUGCUACUGAUCACCUAACUUGAGCGUAUUCCAUGAAAAAUCCAUACGGAGUAGUGAAAUCCAGGUAUCCUGUGAAGUAGCAAAAAGGUUAAGUCUGACAUUUAGUGCGGGUAUCCUAAGCUCUGGGCAGGCCUUGAUGCUCACGUGGAAACCUGUCAACCGUGAGUCCAGAAACACGGACAUCAGCUUUGGUAGGCCUGUCCAGCUGCUGGGUAUGCCUCCUAGGCUGCUUCCACUCACACUUAAUGGGUGUCGAGAGCAAACGCUUCAACUAACCUAUCACAAGGAUACUCUAUACCAGGUCUGAUCCUAGAAAACUCAAGUACCUCACCCUUGUAUAACCAGGUUUCUAAAAAACGGCUUCUCCUAGCAGCUCCUAGGUCAGCUAGAGUCCCUAGAGUGGCACCUCCUUUGCACCUUACUGGGGUGCUGGGCUCCCUGGUCACCAUCUCAGGCAGGGUCUUCAAGUGCAUGGAUCUCGAGCUGCAACCCCAGGUAGUUGCACAAGUGUAGCUAAAAUCUAACCCAGCAGUCCACGGUAUGCAGUCCCGGGGGGGAACACUUUUCAGCUUGCUUGAGAAAGGACAGGUGAAGAAUCUAAAGUCUCAGGACAAACGAGCACAACUUAAGGGGGUAAGAUCUUUCCAUAGUCCUGAUACCUAGUGUCAGAAAGCUCUAAAAAGAACUUGACCUCUUUUGACUGUGUCUCCCCACCUUGCACUGACUCCCAAUGUCCAUAGCUCCUACUUGAAAGCUCUUCCAGCGAUUUCAGCCAAGCAGAGUUAAGGUGACCAGCCGGCAAAACCAUUACAGACUGAAUGGAUUCUUGUGACAUGAGGUGCUCUAAGACUUCAGUUGACAGAAUUCCGGAGAAAUCACUGCUUAUCACCCUGUGGAAGCUUUAAGAUGAAUAGAUGGCAUGGAGGUGAUGGAGCAAAAUAAGGGACAGCUGGGUUGUAGUUGGAGCAAGUAAAUCUCUUCAGCUGGGGGAGGGGGAAGGAAAAUGAGGAUUUUCGGAAGGAUUUUAGGUUAACCUGGACAAGUCUCCAUAACCUUCCAAGCUUUCCUGUACUGCUACUUGGUGAUCCUAGGAAAAUGCCCAGGGAAGCUUCUAACAUCCCAGUGCUGAGUAUAGCACUUGCCAGGAGCACCUCAAAGGAUUCUAGGAGCUUGACGUAAAUAAGUGAGCUCUUGAUUGUGCUGUGGAACUGGAGAAACGCUAUGGGUAGAGGAACUUCCGUAAUGAGCUGUGAGCGGGUCUUGCAGGCUGGGUAGAACUGACCCCGGGGCACAAACCAGGUAGGAAGUAAGAAUAUGGUCUCAGGAAUAAGGCUGAAGUGUGGGACAAGGCAAAAAGACUUGUAUUACCUGGAAAAACUGGGGGGGACUGGUGAUCAUUCUUGUAAGCUCAGUGCUCAAAGCUGUCUUCAUCUCCUGGUAACGAAAUGCUCUCACCUGGGUUCACCGUCUGCAUACUAGGUAGCUGGUUCCAGCCUAGAAGCUAGCCCUAUUGCCCCAAACAUGCCAUAAACUCGAAAACCUGUGCCUCAAGUCAGGCUAUUGUCUCGGCCUGUAAAGCCUCUUGCCUCUGCCUGGCACCUCACACUUUGGCAUCUAGUUCCAACGUGGCUGCUUGAGCUUUGCUGUGGUCACUGAAGGCUUAGGGGUAGGAGUGUGGGUGUAGCAGUUGGAGCUCCUUGGAACUCCAAGUAUACGUGACUCCAGGUGAGUCUAGGUCAAACUCCAGAUGGACUCCAGGUCCUAUGAAAAAGCAGUUCCUGAGGGGCUUCUGUUGAAUGUAGUUAAAGCAACCGUGUGUCCCAUCCACCUAUUAUCUCAGACCAUAGCCGUUAAGCAAGUUGAACUCUGCAAUGGGGGGCUGCGUGGAAAAAAACUCUUGCUACCUUAAUACAUCCAGUGGAUACUCCAAAUUGGUGUUUCUCUGUGACCUUGAAUUUUCAAUCCCAAAAAGUGAUGUAGCAGAACUAAAUACUGGGUAGUCUCUAGAGCUCAUAUUCUAAUGCUGCUUUAUAAAGGCUUCGAUGUGGCCCAAUCACACACAUCUAGAAAACUGACUUCAUUGCUUCACCAACCAUAAAGAGCCUAGUUUCCCACAAGGUAUGAAACGCUUCCACAUCCCAGAACCCUGGAAUUCUACCUGAGCUGUUGUUGGGAGAGGAACUCCACAACCCCUAGCUGCUCAUCAGCUGAUGGCUGAGCAGCAGGCCCGUGGAGGCCUUGGUGUCUCCCCAGCCGUAUCAAUAACAUGAAGACCUAACCCCAGCAUUUUCCCAUGGUUUGGGCCCUCUAUUUGUUGAAAUAAUACUUAAGAGAUUCAGCUGCAGUGCCUUCUCAGCUGACGCCGGAAACGGUGUGGUCGUUCAAAGGUGUCUAAAUUUGAGGCCUAGGCCUACUAAGUGGCUUUUCUCUACCCUUUUUUUUUCCCUCCUGCCCUUGGAGCAGCAGCUGUCUGAUCACGUGGUAAUGCUUGACUCUCUGGGAACCAUUUCUCUAUGGAGGAUUAGUGUACCUGUGCUGUAUUCCAGGUAUUGCUGAUCCCCACGCACAGGGAACGCGCUCAGCGACUCACUGUCAAAUGUGAUCCUUUUUGUUCCUCAUGAAGCCAAAACUAUGGCUAGCGCUGCUGGGCUGGGGUUUUUUUUCACCCUCCAUUAUAACUUGGUCUCUUGAGAGAAGCCUCCUGAGAUCAAGAGGAAAAUAUUUCUUCCUAAACAAAAGGGAACCCAAGUAGUAACGUGACUUCACAAAAGUAGAAGCCAGUGUGGAAGGUGAGCAGAUGCUUAUUUCAAUAAGUCCAUCUGGUUCCAAGCAUAAGAACGGGUGACCUUCCUGGGGGCUCUGUAACCUCACCCACUGUCGCCGUUGAGGUCUUAAUCGACCUAGAACCGAUUCUGACUCUUCCGAAUGACUUGUAUUUUUCUCCUGAAGGAACCAGUCUUUAAAGUUCUGACUAGAGGGGACUUAGGGUUUC